GGUGAAGGAAGUCAACUUAGGAGUGCUGUGAUUGGAUGUAAGGGUACAAUAUAUAUUUUUUUAUUUAUCUAUGAAUAACUGCAGUGUGUAAAUUUACAAUAUAAAUUUUAAAACCUAUUGAAAUAUUUUCUAGAGAAUUAUUCGAAAAGGCUUUCAAAAUUUCAUAAAUUUGGUGCAAAAUGACGGUGGGCAUGGAUAACAUAAACAAGCUCCGUUGGAAAUUGGUCAUGAUACUAUUUGGCUUCAAUUUUUAAAAUAGAUUAAUAUAGUACUAACAUCAC
rnacentral:lncRNA from 1 species